rnacentral:rRNA from 1 species
GAUGAACGCUGGCGGCGUGCCUAAUACAUGCAAGUCGAGCGAAUGGAUUGAGAGCUUGCUCUUAUGAAGUUAGCGGCGGACGGGUGAGUAACACGUGGGUAACCUGCCCAUAAGACUGGGAUAACUCCGGGAAACCGGGGCUAAUACCGGAUAAUAUUUUGAACUGCAUGGUUCAAAAUUGAAAGGCGGCUUCGGCUGUUACUUAUGGAGGGACCCGCGUCGCAUUAGCUAGUUGGUGAGGUAGCGGCUCACCAAGGCAACGAUGCGUAGCCGACCUGAGAGGGUGAUCGGCCACACUGGGACUGAGACACGGCCCAGACUCCUACGGGAGGCAGCAGUAGGGAAUCUUCCGCAAUGGACGAAAGUCUGACGGAGCAACGCCGCGUGAGUGAUGAAGGCUUUCGGGUCGUAAAACUCUGUUGUUAGGGAAGAACAAGUGCUAGUUGAAUAAGCUGGCACCUUGACGGUACCUAACCAGAAAGCCACGGCUAACUACGUGCCAGCCGCCGCCGUAA